AGGCAUACUAGGAAAGUGCUGCGUGACUGCUUCAGGGUCUUGGAAAGGACCUGAUGGAUUACUUUUGCUAUACCAGUAAAUGGCAUUGUCUAGCCAAGGUGGAGCUUACUUUGGCAGAAGAUUCUGCAGGAGGAUUAGCAACAGCACCAAAAGAACUUUAAUGCUUGGAAUAAGUUCGGCUUCACCUGGGCUUCUGUUGAUAGAAUUAUGCUGAAGCUCCUAUUCCACUGCAAGGAAAACAAAUUACCACAGCUGACCAAGAAGUCAGUUGGGAUGCACUGCUGCAUGAAGAGCUAGGUGUGAAGUUGAACAGCAAGUCUGGAAUGUUCUUGGAGAAGCACUUGUCUGCCCUUCCUUCCUUCCUGCAAGAAGCCCAUUUAAAACUUCAGUUCAUCAACAGCAGAUCCUGGGCAUGGCUGGUCAGCCAAGACAGUUCUCAGAGAGGAUGGAAUGCAGAAGACCUCAAUAAGGAGGAUGAGCCACUUCUCUGUGUUUUGCAGAAGCCCCUGUAUCUGCCUUUGGAGAAAAAAGGUGAAGGACCCCUGCCAGUGCUUCCUUGGGACGGAGACCUGGACAACCGAGUCAUUUUUCCUCUUGUUCUUCAAGCAUGCAAGGGAGAAAGCAAUGUUGAGUCACACUGUGUACACCACAAACCCCUGGGCUGCAGUGCACGGCUGUGAUGUACACUGCAUGCAGGGGGUCAGCCCAGUCCCUCCAGCCUGGAUAGAGCCAUAGGCACAAGGUGUGAAUGCUACUGGAUCAUGCAGGGCUCUGCCACGCAACCUGCCACUAGAAGAACAAGUUCUCAGACAAUGAGGUGGAAUCUGUGUUCACAGAAUUGUAGGGGUUGAAAGGGACUCCCACAAAUCACGGAGUCCAACUGCCUGCUAAAGUAGUUCCCUACAGAAGAUUGCACAGGAGGGCAUCCAGGCAGGUCUUGAACAUCUCCAUAAAAGGGGAUUCCACAUCCUCUCUGGGCAGCCUGUUCCUGUGCCCCUUGUUCUGCUGUUGCUUGCUCAUUGACAUGACUCCCACACUUCAGAUAUUUAUAAGCAGUGAUGAGAUCCUCUCUUAGCCUUCUCUUCCCCAGGCUGAACUGUCCCAGGUCUCUCAGCCCUUCCUCAGAUGGGAGAUGCUCCAGGCCCUUCAUCACCUUUGUCACCCUCUGCUGGACUCUCUCUAGGAGACCCCUGUCUUUUUUGAACUGGAGAGCCCAGACCUGGACACAGUACUCCACAUGUGGCCCCACCAGGGCAGAGUAGAAGGAGAGGAUCACCUCCCUUGACCAGCUGACCACACUCUUUUCAAUGCACCCCAGUCCAUACAAAAGUUUGGCAAAACAGUUAAUUUGAUCAAGGCCAGUUCUUUUUCCCUUCGUAGUGAAGCAACAACCUAAUUGUACAAUAAAUCACUGUCAUGCACAGUAACACUCCCUGUUAAUACCAAAUAUGUGGUAUUCCUUUUACAACAUCGCUUUUAAAAGAAACACCCCCAGGUACACGCACACACCCCAAACAGAACACCCAGGUUACAACAUCAAGCAGCAGCAGUUCAGAGUUAGCAUUGUUCAAGGAAGCAAUACACAUACUUGCACUUUUAUUCCAACCAUGCUAAAGACAUGAAACAAAUAUACAACUGGGCGUGUGAGCUAGUUGGAGUUUUUUCCUGUAUGCAUAACCAUUGUAUCUCAGUUCCUAGAAACAACCCGCUGCCCUGAGAGAACCCUGCAGAUGCUGCUGCUUCAUUUGUCAGCAGUCAAUGUCUGCUGCUCCUUUUCAAAUGCGCGCCAUGCCCUCUGCCUGGCCAUCCUGCAGUGCCUCAUUUUAAAAAGUAUCUCUUUUUCUUUUCUUCCUUUUUUCCUCCAUUUUCAAUUUUAAAAAUACAAAUGCUCUCUCACUUUCAGUAAGAGUGCCAGCAAUUACUUUCAAUUCUCAAGCCUUUUCCCAUUGUGUUGUAGCAAUUGGUCCAGUCUGUGAUUACAGUUUGACGUAUUUGGCAUGUUAGUAGUUGAGACUGUCUUUCAGAAGUUGCAGACACUGAAAUUACACAAGUCCCCUUUUAAAUUAGUAAAUCAUUUAUUCUGUUUAAAAUUUAAAUAUAAGAUAGAGAGUACAAUGAUAAUGAAUCUCUGAUGGAAGUUAAGAGAGCAGUUGGCAGUCUCUUGCCUUUUCCAGCAAAAAAAAAAAAAAUAAAAAAAAAGAAGGGAGCUGCUCGAUUUUUACAUCUCAAACCAAUUGAGUUAAAUACUGUCCAAACUGCUGUACCCAUAAGCUACAUAUCACUUGCUCUGAGCAAAGUGAUUCCAGGCAAUUGCUACAAAACCUUAGAAAUUUGUCAUAUAGAAGAGCUGCUAAUGGGGAGGGGGGCAGAAGGGAGAGAAGUGCAGCAAAGUGCUUCGGCUUCAAGUAUUCAUGAUAAUUCUAGUCUAUAUGGAAAUGUCAAAGGUUCCAAAACGCUCCUGUUGUGGUUGCUUGGAAAGGAAAUACAGCACCUAGCAUAAGCUGAAAGAAUACAAAAACUAAGGUUUGAAGAGGAACAGGCUGAAUAAACCUUAAGAGAAAGCAGAGGUGUGCUUCAUUUCAGAGCCCAUUACUGCCUAAGUUAUUGCAGUCAUUUUGUUGGUUUCUUGAACUCCAAUUCCAUACCACUGCACAAAGUAAAAAGCAGAAGGCUGCAUAAAACAUGUUAUAGCGAAGAACAGAGAAAGCCUCAUCUCUGCCUCUGAUAUUCAGCUUUGUCUGUAAAAUAUGCAUUCAUGUAUUAGUCUUUUGGUGGCUAAAUGCACAGAAAAAAUAAACCAAAAUCUGACACUUUAAUAUGAGGGGAAGAUAUACAGCACAUCACUGAUCUUGAACAGCAAAUGACAUCACACCUGCUAAGCCACUUAAGCCGACAGUGUUUAUCAUUAAGGAAAGAAAAAAAAGAAAGAAAAAAAAUACUUGCUCAUUGUUACAUCAACGGAAGUUGGCUUCACUAUGACCUUCCUGACCUUCUCUCCCCAGCUCUGGAGAUAAUGGGGCUCCAGACUUUAAUGCUAUAACAUGACAGAAAGUACAGCAGUAAAGCAGGGUAAAUAAGUCUUUGGCUACAGCAAAUGAGGACGAGCCCAAAUGCAGCAGCUGUGCACACAGAAACAAAGAAAAGGAGCUGCUUACC